GACAGAGGGUGCAAACGUUGUUCGGAUUUACUGGGCGUAAAGCGCGUGUAGGCGGCUUUGCAAGUCGGAUGUGAAAGCCCACGGCUCAACCGUGGAAGUGCAUCCGAAACUGCAUGGCUGGAGUCUCGGAGAGGAAGGUGGAAUGCUUGGUGUAGAGGUGAAAUUCGUAGAUAUCAAGCAGACACCUGCGGCGAAGGCGGCCUUCUGGACGAUGACUGACGCUGAGACGCGAAAGCGUGGGGAGCAAACAGG
rnacentral:rRNA from 1 species